GUGGGCGUUCGUUGGCCCCGCGGUUUCGGGCUCCUGCUUUCUGGGGACAGCCAGCAUGGCCCUGAAGUCCGCCGCCCUUCAGAGCGCGCCCCUCAGAGCCCAGGGGUGCCCGCGCCCGCUCCGGUCCCUCCGCCUUCUGCGGAAGGAAAACCAGGCCCUGGCUCGCUGGGACGGGUCCUUUCGGGGACUGCGGCUGCUUCCCUGUUCGUAGACUCAGCAGCCGGCGAUGUGACUUCAAGGCCCCCUCGAGCUCUGCCUUCUUAAAAAAUAAAACGUAGACCUCUCCUUAGCCAUGUGGGUUAUGUGAGAGCAGCCUGAUGUGGUGCUGCUAUUCAUUCAUUCAUUAGUUCAUUCACUCAUCUGGGAUCGAGAGCAUGGUGUGCCAGGCACCUUAGCAGAGCAGAAGACAGAGCGAGAACCCGGCAGACACCGCCACUGCUCCUGUGGGAUCUGAGGUUUAGUGGGGACACAAGGAAUUGAGCACAUGGCACGGAAAGUGCCCUUAAACCAGCCCGGGAAGAUGAAGGCGAGCUUCCUGGAGGAAGAGGCACCUAAGCUGAUGACUGAAGGAAAACGAUGUCUGUAUGGGUCUCCCCGGUUUUGCCCACAACUGCAGGGUCCUAUGGAUGCCCAGUGGAGCCCACGGUGAGAACCUGAGGGUGAGGCUGAAGAGACCAUGCUCCCCUGUGCUCUGUCCUUCUCCUGGUGCUGGCUUCAUCCUGAGGCUUGAGCUGUGGUGGCUUCAGGAUUCAUAGGUUCUCACAACAACCCCGGUAAGAGAGACUCUUGAGAAGGAGGAGCAGUUUCCCCGAAGCAUCCACCAAACCUACCCUUGUAUCUCAUGGGCCCGAAUUGGGACAUAUAUCUGUUGUGCUCUCUGAAGACACUCCCAGUAAAUGGGACUUCUAAAUUUUGAUAUAUAAAACAAAAGAAGAAAAUAUGACCUCUACUUCUAAUACUGUUGGAGGCUAUAACCUAGUUAUACAGUGGAAAUUGAGGUCCAUAGAGAUUAAGUUAUAUGCCUAAAUUAUAUUGCAGAGUGGAAUUUAAACUCAGGUUGUUGACUGCAAAGUCUCUAAUUUUUCUUUUUCCCAGUUUACCUCUUUUUAAAAUAUGAGCAUAUCUGUAAUGUUUUUGUAAGAAUGACCAUGUUCAAACCCAUGUUGUUUAAAGGUAAAGAAAAAAAGGAUGACCAUGUCUAUCAAAAAAUUCAAUGUAGAAAAGUUCAGAGAAGUAAGUAAAAGUAAACUGAGAUCUCCUAUCCGAUGAUAAACCACAAAUACAUUGGUAAACAUCCUUCCAAAUGUAACACUGCAUAAAAUCACAUGUAAGUGUACAACUUAAUAAAAAUGGAGUCAUAUUCUACAUGACUAAGACUGCGAAUUGCCUGCCAAGUGUAUAUUCUCAUCUUCUCCUGUGGUAACAGGGCUCUUGGCCACAUGCCCAGUAGAAAAAGUUCUUUUCUAGGCUCCCUGACAGAUAGGAGUGGGACGUGGCUCAGUAGGAGUCCUGGUAAAAGCUAUUGUGUCCCUUCUCUGGGAUCCCCAGACAUGACAUGAUGGCUGAAGCUCCAGUAGCCAUAAUGUAGCCUUGAGGGUAGAAGCCACCUUCUAAGGAUGGCAGAAUAGAAGGACUGAAGGAUCCUGAGCCUCUCAUAGUUUCAAGGAGCUGCCACACAAGCAUAACCUGUCUAUCUCCAACUUCUUUUAUGUCAGAGAAUAAACCAUUAGUCUGUUUCAGCCAUUAGGCUUUAAAAACUAUGUACCUUAUGCACAUUUUAAAGUUGAAAUCUAAAAUUCUUAAUAAGUUUAAAUAGUUUCAAAUAAUGUAAUUCUGACUUACUGAAACUGUUAACAUUCUAAAACUGUCACAUCAUUCUUUAAAGUGCAUU
rnacentral:lncRNA from 10 species